rnacentral:rRNA from 1 species
UACGGGGGGAGCAAGCGUUGUUCGGAUUUACUGGGCGUAAAGGGCGCGUAGGCGGCCAGCACAAGUCAGUUGUGAAAUCUCCGAGCUUAACUCGGAAAGGUCAACUGAUACUGUGCGGCUAGAGUGCAGAAGGGGCAACUGGAAUUCUUGGUGUAGCGGUGAAAUGCGUAGAUAUCAAGAGGAACACCUGCGGCGAAGGCGGGUUGCUGGGCUGACACUGACGCUGAAGUGCGAAAGCUAGGGGAGCGAACGGG